UUUUCCGUGGGCGACCCUAGGGCGGAAACUUGGGUUUCAAAUGCGAAACAUUUGUCUCCUGGAAUCACAUCUGGCUUCCAAUGUAUGUUAAGACUUUUCUUAACCGAAAAAGUCAGCGCCUGAAGGACACCCAAGGCUCAAGGCCUUCUGCCCCUCAGCUGUAUCUGCCGCAAAUAGGAAUCAGCCACCUCAAAUUUAUCCUAUUUUACCAUGCGUACUGCUUGUGGGAAGAGAUUAAUUAUUUUGCCUCCUGCCAAGACAAAGUCCUUUAGUGAAAGUGUGGGUAAGUAAUGAAUUUAAAAGAUCAAGAUAGUAGGCAACAGACCAGGUAAAAGGCUGUUACCAAAGAGCAAGAUACUGAAGGAAGGCAAUAGCAUUGGUAGUGGAAAUAGUGAGGGAAGAGUAUACUUGAAGUACAUCUAUGAGACACAAAUGACAGAACUAGACUCAGUGAUUGAAUCAACCUGGAGCAGUGGUGCAGGGAACAUAAUAGAAGGUAGGGAUGCAGGGUUCUGUAUGUAAUUUGGGGUUUUGUUUGUGAUAAGUGAACAGUUAGAGAUGACAUUCAUUGUUGUUCAAGAUACAGAAAGAAGUGUAUAUUUGGGGGAAAAUUUAUGAUUCCUGUCUUAGGCAAAUUGAGUUUGAAGUAGGAGAUAUUAAAGUACUUGGUGUGGGAGUUCCUGUUGUGGCUCAACACGUUAAGAACCUGACACAGUGUCAUUAAGGAUGUGAGUUUGAUCCCUGGCCUUGCUCACUGGGUUAAGGAUCUGGCAUUGCUGCAAGCUGCAGGGUAGGUCACAGAUAUAGCUCAGAUCUGGUGUUGCUGUGACUGUGGCAUAGGCCUGCAGCUACAGCUGUAAUUUGAUCCCUAGCCCUGGAACUUCCAUAUGCUGCAUAUGUGGCCAUAAAAAGAAAAAAAAAAAGGUACUUGGUGUGUAUAUUUAGAAUUUAGGAGAGUGUUCUGGACUGGAGAAGCUAGAUUUGGAGCAGAUCAUUUAGGGACCCU
rnacentral:lncRNA from 1 species